UACGUAGGUGGCGAGCGUUGUCCGGAAUUACUGGGUGUAAAGCGCGUGUAGGCGGCAGGCCAAGUCGGUGGUGAAAGCGCCCGGCUCAACUGGGCGAGGUCCAUGGAAACUGGUCAGCUGGAGGACGGUAGAGGCGAGUGGAAUUCCCGGUGUAGUGGUGAAAUGCGUAGAGAUCGGGAGGAACACCUGUGGCGAAGGCGGCUUUCUGGCCUGUUCUUGACGCUGAGGCGCGAAAGCUGAGGGUAGCAAACGGGG
rnacentral:rRNA from 1 species